UGAAAUCCUCCACAAAAAUUCCUAAUUUAAAUUUAAAUAACUUAUAUCUUAAUCUAUCUAAAACUCCCGAUCUGUUCAAUAAAAAAACUGUAGAUGCCAUCUAAAGUUUUGUUCGUGGCUAAAGUCCCAGAAGCAUAUUUUUUGUUGUAUGUAGUACAACAACAAAAACUGUAUACAUUCGCAAAAAAAAAACUAUACACGGCUAGACGCCACCUUAAAAAAACAUGGAGACUUGCCGUGCAUCUGCCCCUCGCGGCUCACUGCGUUCCGUUUGCCUCUCUAUGUCCUCCUCGCCCAUCCUCUUCCAGUUUCCACUCCUCUGUGCGCCCAUGGCAGACUACCCUGCCGCAGCAUUUAGGCGCCACCGGAUACGAAUCCCUCUUCCGGUACCAUUACAUAGACAUUCCGCUAAAUAUGCAUCCGACAUCCGGCAGCUGUAUAGACGCUGCUCACCACAACACUUCUCUAAACCCAUUGUCCUAGCAGUCGAGAAACACAUGUACAAACACAUUUAUUAGUCUUAAUGUUGUACGUAUGUAUGACUAAUCAGCUUCUCAAAAAAAGUGAUGAUCAAGAUGAAUCAGCAUACAUGCUAUUGAGUUUCUUCGAGAGAGAGUGAAAAUUCCGUGAACAGCAUUUAUCGGCACAGGUUUUCAGCCUUUCGAUCGAGCAACACACGUACAUGGGAUCCGUUGAAAGUAUAUCUGCACAUGUUGGUUGGUCAACACCAAGGAAGAUAAAUUGCUCCUGCUAGAAAGAGUAAUAUAAUUUGCUAGUCGGACAUAAACUAUGAAUGGAGGAUCAAACCAACCCUAGAUCGACAAAUUUUGGCAAAAAGUAAAACUUCAGGAGGAGUAAACCUGGAUGUAGAUUCGAGAUGGUUUGUCUGAUUGUCGUAUUCUCCCUGCUCCAAGAAAAGUACAUGUUUUUUCUCUUCAUGUGUCAAUUUGAAGAAAGCAUUCGGGACUUUCAGUCUUGCGUACAUGGAGUCUAUUCAAUCAGCAUUUUCUGCUGGUGAAUAACCUACAAAUUUAUUUUGCUAAUAGAGGUAUGUUAUUUGCUGGUGGGUAUUAAACUGUAAACAAAGGAUCAAACUAAUUGUAGAACAUUUUUUUUGACAGAAGGUAAAACAUAAAGAGGAAUAUACUUGAAUUGAGAUUAGAGUGAACACCUACUUAUCUAGCUAGUCUGAUUGUCAUCUUUUCCCUUGUCCAAGAAAACUGCCGGAUUUUUAGAAAUAGACAGUCUGUAACCGAUAUGCUGGUGGUUGUUAGGGCCGUACUAAUGUCUAAGGACAAUAAACGGGCCUAACUAUCGGCAGUUGGGAGUGACUCUGGAGAUGCAUAGGUGGAGAGGAAACACCUACCCGCGUAGUUUGCUGACAUAACCGAUAGUCGGACGCUAGAUAAACCAGAUUAACGAACGGAACCUGCAACAUAUACCAUCUGAAUAAUAAUUGGGAACUUGGAACCCAAAAAUUGGUCUAGUUUCAACCAGUUUCUGACGUUGAAUGCUUUGGUCAAGCAAUGAAUCAACUACACCAAUUUUCUUGGAAAGAAACUAAAACUAUGUCCAGAUAUAAAAUCAAAUUGAAAGGGCAUACUUGUAGGUUCUGAACCUAUCAAAAAGAUUCCAUACAUCAUUACAGAUAUAUCCAAUAAUCUAUACCUAAUAAUAAAGAGACUAUUGCUUCCGUCGGAAAACCCACCACGAUCUUUUUAUAAAAAAACAUGUAAUUUUUAUUAUUCAACCCGCGCUCCAUCAUUUAUCUGCAACGCAAAAGGAAAAAACGAUUCGCUGCAAAAAUUAUACCCGUAUGCAUCGCCUCCUCCCAUCGACCCUGGGCCACCCUGGCCUGUGUCCAGGCCGCCGCCACACCACUCAUCGCCCCGGCCGACCUCAACCGCCACCGCUGUCGAUCUCAACCCACCCGCCUCCAUGGCUGUACCUCUCCUCGCUCACUGCCCCUGUUGCGGCGCUCGAGCGCAUCGCGUCGACCCUGGUCCACCCUGGUCUGUGCCCAGGCCGCUGCCACACCACUCGCCGCCGCGGCCGACCUCAACCACCACUAUUGUCGAUCUCAACCCACCCGCCUCCGCGGUCGUACCUCUGCCCGCUUGUUGCCCCCGUUUCGGCGCUCGAGCACAGCUUCUGGAUCAAAUCAACGCGACAUCUACAACGACUUGGGAUGAUGCGUCUGCUCGAUGCAGAACGGCGGCGGCGCGCGGAUAAGGCACGGCGGAGCGAAGUACUUGCAGGUGGAGGCGGGCCUCCAUGGUUCACACGGGGAACUCCGAGGUUAUGAUGUGGCAACGGCGACUCGUUAUGGCCAAAUAGAGGCGCCUAACCCUUGCUCCCCUCAUCGUAUCCCCUCCUCCGGCAGGAACUCAUCAUCUGGUGAGAUCCCCUCCCCAUGGCUCCAACCGUGUGCCAAGCACCGGCAGGAACUUUUGUUUUGUGGGAAUUUGUUUGCUGAUGAAUGAAUGUAUUGAAUGUAAGAUUGCAUUGUUGUAGAGAGAAAGAAUGGAACACCACCUUCAGUUUGUCAUCUAAUCCCAUAUUCUCUAUCCCAUGAGUGAAAUAAGAUAACAGUCCAUUGAUCAAUUCAUGUAGCCUCUUUGUUUUGCUUUGCUUGUCUCGCUCAAUUUCUCAUCAUGGCGAAAUUAACAAUGGACGGGUUGAUUUCUCAACAAAAUAGGAUAGGACUCACUACAUUAGUUAGUUAGCUUAUUAUUUUAAUAAAUAAAAAUGAUUAUAAAAAGAUUAAAAGCGUUUGGUAUUUUUUCUCCCGUUGCAACGCACGGGCCAUUUUGCUAGUGUGAACUAAUAUAUCAAUCUGUGUCCAUGUACUUUCCCGGGUUUUUUUUGUCUUGUCGCCAUUGUUUUAGACCCUAAAUUACAGAGAACGUAGAAAGGAGGACAUUAAUACAACAGAUCAAAGGAAAACAAAUUUUGAAGUUUAUUCAAUGCACAAAUCAGAAAGAAAGGAGUAUGAAACUUUCAUCAAAUCUUGGUAUAAAAGCAGUGUCAGAAACGAACCUGAUCCAGAACCUGAUCAAGAUGAGGAACAAAAAUUUGAUGCAUUAAGAUCAUUGAUCAACUGGAUCCAUGCCCGAAACUCCCUUCCUUCAGUUUGUGGGGAGAAGAUGAUUUUGUUUUCCAUGGGGGAAGAGAGAGAAUGGAGAGAAGAGAUGCACGGAACUUUUUCCAAGAGAGAGAGAGAGGAAGAUACGUGAGAGAGAGAUGGAGUGGGAGAUACGGGAAAGAGAGAAGGGAGAGAUGAAGGGACGUGUUUA
rnacentral:lncRNA from 1 species